AUUGAACGCUGGCGGCAGGCCUAACACAUGCAAGUCGAGCGAGCGGAGGACGGGUGAGUAAUGUCUGGGAAACUGCCUGAUGGAGGGGGAUAACAACUGGAAAAGGUAGCGAAAACCGCAUAAAAGCAGAUGUGCGCAGAUGGGAUUGGCUGGUAGGGGGGGUAAUGGCUCACCUAGGCGACUACCCCUAGCUGGUCUGAGAGGAUGACCAGCCACACUGGCACUGAGACACGGUCCAGCCUCCUACGGGAGGCAGCAGUGGGGAAUCUUGCGCAAUGGGCGCAAGCCUGAUUCAGCCAUGCCGCGUGUGUGAAGAAGGCCUUCGGGUUGUAAAGCACUUUCAUCGGGGAGGCGUUACCUGCCGAAGAAGCACCGGCUAACUCCGUGCCAGCAGCCGCGGUAAUAC
rnacentral:rRNA from 1 species